GUAUUGGUGGCACAGUGGUUAGCACUGCUGCCUGACAGCAGAAGGUUGUGGGUUCGAUUCCGCACUGGGGCC